UACGAAGGGGGGCUAGCGUUGCUCGGAAUCACUGGGCGUAAAGCGCACGUAGGCGGACUCUUAAGUCGGUGGUGAAAUCCUGGAGCUCAACUCCAGAACUGCCUUCGAUACUGGGAGUCUUCGAGUCCGGGAGAGGUGAGUGGAACUGCGAGUGUAGAGGUGAAAUUCGUAGAUAUUCGCAAGAACACCAGUGGCGAAGGCGGCGACCUGGGUAGAUACUGACGCUGAGGUGCGAAAGCGUGGGGAGCAAACAGGG
rnacentral:rRNA from 1 species